UGAGCUGAAGUCGGAUGCUUAACCGACUAAGCCACCCAGGUGCCCCUGGGCCCCCUAUUUCUAGUGUAUGACCCUGGAAAGUUACUGAAACUCUCUGUGGCUCAGUUUCCCCACCUCUACAACAGGGGUUAUGGUUGUAGGUUUUGAUCUCUAAGCUUUCAAAUAUUCUAGUUUUACAGAAAACUAGGUCAGGGUUUGAUUCCAAAAAGCCAAAAUAACUAAAAGUUGUCAACUGAAUUAGUAAAUCCUCUAUCAAAGAUGCAGUCUCAGUAAGCAAGCACAUUGGAUGGCCAUGAAAAAUGCAUGGCUGUUCCUCGGACGAAGGCCCUCAGCCUUGUCCACAGAUGCUGCCAGAAGAUUCCGACCCAAAGCUCCUGAAUUCUUCAUGUCUCUGUUCCUCACUGUGCUCUCAAUAUUCCAAACUCACAGAUAUUCAGUAUCCUGGCAAGGCAGAGCACUGCUCAUAUUGUAUUGCUGUGGUUUUAUCAUUACAGGUUGAGAAAUACAGUUUUAACUAUUGUUUGAGGAGAAAAGUAUCCUAAUGCCCAGUGGUAUAUCUUAUACAUCUUACAUAAGACAGAUGUAUAACUGGAGGAACAAAACUACCAACAGCCUUCUGCUUCCCAUGAGCAGCCAUUACCUGCUUUGCAGCUUAGCAGUGGGAUGGUUUCUUAAUAUGAGGAGGUCAAGGGGAUGCAAUGCUGAUACGGGGCAGGGACUGAGUGAAAGAUACAUCGUUCAUAUAACAACCGCUAGCAUUUGCUUGAAGACAAUUCUUGCUAAUUAUGGGACUGGUAAGAAAAAUGCACCUCUUCCUUGUUUUGAGUUGACAUUACAUGAUCUCUUAAAAUGAAUAUUUGAUCCUUGAAGAAGUAAGCAGGUAUAUGGAGGUAUAGUUUGUGGUUAGGUGACUGAGGCCUCUGAGAACAGUUAACAGCAGGAGCAUACCGGGAAGGUGCAGAGAAUAAAUAGGCAUGACUCAUCCUGAUGCGGAGACCACAAAGGGCCAAGGAGGAUGCCUGUGCAUACCCUACGGCUCUGAGAAGUCAAAUGCUAUCAAAGACUGGUCUGGUCUAAAGAACAGACAACGGAAAAUGCAUUUCUUGGAAUAAAUAAUGGCUUUGGGGUGAGAGCAACAUUUGUGUUUAAAGGGCAGACUGUUCUCAAAAGGUAAAUGAACACAUAUGUUUUGUCAGUAAUAAGGAAAAGGAAGUCCUGCAUGAAGGCACAGGCCUGACACCAAGGUCAGGACCCUCUGAGUGAAAUUUAACUUCGUGGGUACUUUUUACGUGGACUCUAAUUGAGUCCCUGUUAAAUCAAAAACAUCAGAACACUUUGGAGCAAUACACCAAAAGCUUCCAUGUCCACAACAAAACGUUACAAUGUCUACGAUAUAACCCAAAAUUAUUCAACAUACAAAGAUCCAGGAAAAUGUGACACGUUCUCAAAAUCAACAGAUGCCAAUGGUGAGGCGAUCAGAUGGUGGCAUCAGCAGACAGGAGCUUUAAAGCAGCUAUCAGAACCAUGCCCAGGGAAGUGAAGGAUGUUCACAAUAAAUGAAAGGCAGGCAGUACCAAUAGAGAAAGAAAAAAAGGGAACUAACAACUGAAAACAUACAAGCGUUGAAAUUUUAAAAAUGCUCAAUAGAAGGGAAAUGACAGAGGACAAAGAGGGUAAACCUGAAGAUGUAUUAAUAGAAACCAUCUAAUCUAAAGAAGAGAGAGCGUGCUGAGAAAAAGGUGAACAGAGCCUCAGAAACCCGUGGGAGAAUUUCAAAAGCUCUAACAUAUGGAUAAAUGUGUCCCAGAAGGACAGAGAGAAUGGAGCUGAAAAUCUCCCAAAUAUGGUAAAAGACAUACACUCAACAGAUUUAAAGUAGCUUAAUGAACUCCAGAACAAGAGAAAUUCAAAGAGAACCAUGAUUAGGCACAUCCCAGUCCCACUAACUGAAAACCAAAGAUAAAGAAACUCUUGACUGCACCCAGAGAGGAAAAACAGGUUGCACAUGGGGAAGAACGAUUAGAACAAGCAAGCCCUUCUCAUCUCUGGAGGCCAUGGACACUGAAACGACAUCUUUAAAGCACAUAAAGCAAGAUCAGGUGGAAUUCUUUAUCUAUGGAAAUUUUUGAUCGUGAAAAAAAGACAUUUACAGAAGAAGGAAACUGGAAGAACUUGUUGCCAAUGGACCUGCUCUAUAAGAAAUGCUAAAGCAAGUUCUUCAGUAUGAAGAGAAAUGAGAUCAGUAGGGAACUCAGAGCUUCAGGGACGAAUGAAGGCGACUGGAAAUGGUAAAAGAUCAAAAGCAACUAGAGAUGCAAUGCUUCAGAACGCAGAUGUCAGAAGACUUGCCAGGCAGCCAUUCACCCUUAUGUGACAGCCUCUGCUUACGCUGAAGCUUGUUUCAGUCCAGGUUCACAGACAUUCUAUCAAAAUGGCACACGUUUCUCUGUGGCUUCUGUGAAAGACCAAUGGAGGAAGUGCUAGAAAACGAGGCCAAAGCAGCGCCGUGGGCAGUGGUGCAGAUUCAAGGACACACUGUGAUUGUGGAACAAAAAUGUACUUCUGAGGCCUGUCCAAUUUCACUACUAAACACUUGAAGAAAAAAAGUGGCAGCUGAGUUUUAAGAUGAAUCUGUACCUCAAUAACAGCUAUAGGAAAAGACCCCAAGACCAGAAAUGCCAGCUACCAUGGGCCUCGCCUCUCCCCCCAUGUCUUCCUAACUCCAGCUGCCCACCAAAACCCCUGAUCCGGACAAAACACACCCCUCUUCUACCCCAUCUCUACACUGAUCCAAGUUUCUGACCACACUUAAAGCCCAAUUUGAACUGCUAUAAUUUUUUGUUCCCCAAACUCCUUGUGGCCUUUUACCCAACCUCUCCCCAGCACUUCUGAUUGUUUAAAUAAUAAAUAAAAUAAAAUAAAACAAAAUAAAACAAAAUAAAAUAAAAUAAAAUAAAAUAAAAUAAAAUAAAAUAAAAAUAAAAUAAAACAAAACAAAACAAAACAAAACAUUCCCCCGCCUCUCUAAAUCUUUAUCAACACUCUUGACCUUAUUUUCUUCCUCCAGCAUCAGGGUCCUGCUCCACAAGUUUCCCCUCCUUUUUCCUAUCGUCAACUAAUUCUCCUCCAGGGACCUUUCUCCCAUCUUACAAACUUGCUCACUGUGCCUUGUCCUAGAAGCAAACAAAAACAGAUCAAGGACACUACCAUUCGCCUUCCAAUCUCACUUCUCGAUGCUGUCUGCUUUCCCCCACAACUAAAUGUUUUUCCUCAACUUUUUUCCUAACAAAUUUGGUGAAGGUGGGAUCCCCUCUCACUGCAGGACUUUCCCACUUGUCAGGUCACGCCCUCGCCUGGUCUCUGUGAUCUAGGCGUAUGCAUUCAGCACUUUAACAGACCAGUUCUCUAAAGGAUUGUUCAUCACCUCCCAGGAGUCCAUUAUCUUUGGCCUAUUUUCAGGCUUCAUCCUCUUUGAUCUCUCUACAAUUAAUAUUCGGCACUGCUGGUGACCCCUCUUUCUAGAAAUUUCCUACUGUUCAUUCUCUGAUGCUGAGCUUUCCUAGUUUUUUCCCUGAUGUUUGUAUCUUUUUCUUAGCUUCCUCUUUUUCCUCUUGCUCCUUAUUCCUUAGCUUAUUUUAUAUAAUUGCAUUCAUUCUAUGGCUUCAGAGCUAGACUUUUAUGCUGUCUUAAUUUCCUUCCUCCAAUUCCUCUCCCCAUUCUGGGUGCCAUCAUUGCACUAAGUGACCCCUAAGGUGAGAAAUUCAAUGGGCUCGUCCAGGCCUCAUUUUACUGGACUCCCUUCCACAGGUUCAGACAUUGUUGGCCACUGUGUUCCUUUCCUUCUGCUUCUUUGACAUGUUAUUCCAUCACUUCCUUUAAUCUUUCUGGCACCUUCCCUGAUUCUUGUGCGAACCCUUGCUUUUCUGCCCAAACAUUAAAUGUUACACUUCUUCACGUCAGUCUCUCCUCUUCCAACUGAGAGCUUACUUCCGGCUUCAAUUACAUGAACAUACGGAAGACUCACAAAUGUAUACUGAUAGUCUACACAACAUGCUAGUGUUGUUUAGCAUUAGUAUUGUUAUAACCAUCUCCCAUCCAUUCUAAUUGGAGGUUGGGCAUAAAUAGGGAAUUUGUGUCAUUUACAAAAUUAAUGUUAUUGAUUUAACAAGUGUGAACACUGGUUUUCAGAAUGGAACAAAUCGUUUUCUGACGAUCUCACUGUUUGACUGUCCAGUACCACAACUGGUGUUUGUAAUAAUGACUGCAGUUUUACAAGAAUACCCUCCUGCUUGAUAAAGUCUGUGUUUUAUGGAAGGAUGUUUGUAGUUUUAAAAGGUUUUUAUCCACAAAGUUUAACAAAUUUUAAAGUUCUAGGUAUUCACCCUCAAUGACUUCACUUUUGGACCAAGCUAUACAAAGGAGGUCUUGCUGAAUAUUAUCACGUAAAUAUUGGCACUGACCAUACAGGAAAUAGGAUGCAUAUUUCAAUGACUUUUCUUUGAAGGAUGUAGAGGAUUAUUCAUAUUUAAAAGCAAAAUUGGUUCAUAUUCUGGUUUGUAUGGCCAGUAAUUAGGCAGUAAAAAUACUUCAGCUGAAAUCUAAACAGACUUGACAUAUUUCAGAAAAACGUACCAAGAAAAUGAAACCUAUCCCUGGAGUAUUAUUUUAACAUAUAGCUUCAAUGAUACAAAGUGAGUAACUCUGCCUUUUUAAGAGAUUAAAUCAUGAUCAUUAGACUUAUUACAGAUAAGGCCCUGCUAUGAAGAUAAAUGUGGUCAAAUAGACGACAAUAAAAAUCAUCCAGAGGCCUAAAGAGAUUGACUGCUGGGAAGAAUCAAACACAGGAAAGCACACAAGAGCCUGAGCCACUUUCCAAAAUGCAAGCAACUAUACGAUUUCACUGUUCCCAUACCUGCGGUGGGGGAGUUUGCGUGAUGAGACUUUUUUGGCAGGUUGAAGAUCUGUUCGCCAGGGUCAGGCGGAGGGAUCGCAUCUUGCCCUUGCCGCGCUUCUACAGGAUCAUACUCCUUCCCAUCGUAGUUAGCAUCAUAGAAUUUCUUAAACCAUUGAAUGAAAUCCAGGUUGUCCUGGAAACGCCCCUUCACCAGCUUCUCCACUGGGAUCACCUGUAAUAUAAAAUCGCCAUGUGAGUCGUGAACCCACGACUAUUUUAUGAGUAUUUGGCACAACUGAAGCAUUUCCUAUAAACUAUUUUCUACGGGUCAGGGAUUAUUUACUGGUCUCCCCCUCAGCUUCUUGGCCAGCUGUAUUCUAGAAUUCACCUAUUUUUUUCAUCAUACGCAAGCAAAAUUAAAAUAAAAUGCUGUA